CCCUUAGAUGGUCUGGGCGGCACGCGCGCUACAAUGAUGCAUUCAAAAAGUCUUCUGACCUUAGAAGGUUGGGUAUUCUCCAAAGUGCAUCGUGAUGGGAAUAGUUUAUUGCAAUUUUUAAUCUUGAACGAGGAAUUCCUAGUAAGUACAGGUCAUCAACUUGUGUUGAUUACGUCCCUGCCCUUUGUACACACCGCCCGUCGCUCCUACUGAUUGAGUGGUUCGGUGAGGCUUUGGGAUCUGAGCGGAAAGAGCGUUUCGCUGUUUCUGCUCGGAAAACUCAGUCGAACCUUAUCAUUUAGAGGAAGGAGAAGUCGUAACA
rnacentral:rRNA from 1 species